CCCCGCGGGAAGCGCCGAGCCUGGCGGGAGUGCGGAGUUCCUCCCUUUCACCCGCCUCGGCGGCUCCUCCGGCCGCAGCGUGUGCGGGAAAAGCGCCCGCUCCCGACGGGGCUCAGCUGGGGGCAGGGCCGAGGAAUGCCCCGGGAGCGGCGAUAACGCGCCGCUGUGUGUUUUCCUUCUUCGGACGGAAGUUAAAGGCAGGAGCCCCAGGAAGGCGAGAGGAGGUCACGAUCGAGGCAUCAGAUCCUUCUCGUGGCUCUACCCAGCGCCUUCGGGACUCGGCGUGCAGGGCUGAACCAGAGAAAGGUGACGUCUUUUACCCCAAACCUCGAAAACCCAGCUCCUUCCUGCUCUCCUUCCAGGUACAAGAAGCGAUUCUCCCACAGCUGGAGCAGAACCGCUCAGCUCAGACGCACUGGAGUCAAAACCUACAGGGAAGGUGGAACGUGUGUAGCUGAUGGCAGAGGAAGCCAUCAUUACAGGUCUCAAAUGCUUGGCUUGGUAUCUGCUGCACUGCAUUCAACAACGAGGCAGCUCCUUUUGAGUAAGGACUUCAAGGAAUUCUUAAAAUAUUCUCGCAAAGAACAGCAGUGUGCUUUCUCCAAGCGGUGAGGGACAUGGAUAACAAGAAACCACCUCCCAGCCUCACACAGGACCCGCUGCGCUGGGCACUCCUGUGAGGAACAAACCUUUGGGGGCCACCGAGGACGCUACUGGUAAAAAUCUUGGCCGCAUUACCCUGCCCAGCAUCUUUACCCACGAGAAGACGCCGCACAAAACACAGCGCAGAGUCCUCUUUCCCCCACUUUUCCCGCCAAUACCGGCCCAGCCUCCUGCACCCCAA